GGAAUGGUUUGGCACCUCGAUGUCGGUUCGUCACAUCCUGGGGCUGGAGAAGGUCCCAAGGGUUCGGCUGUUCGCCGAUUAAAGUGGCACGUGAACUGGGUUCAGAACGUCGUGAGACAGUUCGGUCCCUAUCUGUUGCGGGCGUUAGAAGUUUGAGGGGUGCUACCAUUAGUACGAGAGGACCGUGGUGGACGAACCGCUAGUGUACCAGUUGUCACGCCAGUGGCACAGCUGGGUAGCUAUGUUCGGACGGGAUAAGCGCUGAAAGCAUCUAAGCACGAAGCCCACCUCAAGAUGAGACUUCUUUUAAGGGUCGUGGAAGAUUACCACGUUGAUAGGCUACAGGUGUAAAGUCAGCAAUGGCAAAGCCGAGUAGUACUAAUUACCCGUAGACUUUGACCUG
rnacentral:rRNA from 1 species